UUACUCAAAGUUUGUAACGUCACGUUGACCUAAUGAUGAAACACGUUUCACGUUGUAUUGAUAAAUUACUACGUAAAGUACUCGAACUUGACGAUAUUAAUUCGUACAAACUAACGCCCUAUAAUUAAUUGCAAUAGUUUGUUGCAUAUAAAGGUGGAAAAGAUCCAAUUUGAGACUGAACGAAACGACGGACAGUUCAAAUUGGCAAAAUGGCGCCCAAAGCCGGCGUCCAUUUCAGAAAACUGCUUCUAUGAUUCGGUAGGUUUUUACAUCUGUACGUUGCAUAAGAAUGAAAAUAUUGUAGAAGUAAAAAGCUUGUAACUAAAAAA